rnacentral:lncRNA from 1 species
GGGAGAGGGAGGGAGGAGGAGGGGAAGGAAAGGAAAGGAAAGGAAAAAGGAAAGGAAAAAGAAAAGGAAAGGGGCAGCCUGCCUAGCAUUGCGGAAGAUCCCAUGCGCCUCUCUGGAAGCUGGGAAGUAAUCAUCAUGUGUCAAAGAGCAUGCUGGCCCAGGGCGUGCUUUGUUUGGCCCACUCCAUGUUUUUUUAAUGUUUAAAUGUUAAUCUCUUUAUUAGUUAGCUCUUGCUCAUUUAUGCUGCAGUAACAGACAUCCCCAGGACCUCAGCGUUUCAUAGGAACGACAUGGCACACAUUGGUGGUGGCUGUCCUCCCAGGCAGUACCCCACAUCUUGUCUUCCGUGUUUGGGCACCCAGGCUGGAGUAGCAACCCAUCUCAGUCAAUGGCAAAGGAAGCAUCCCCGGUGGACUAGAGGCUUUGUCCCAGCAGAAGCGUUGCCACCCCCCCGGAAU